AAGAGUCCGAAAGGAAUCUAAUUCGUGUUCGAUUCUCCACUACCAGCUCCGAUCUUCACCGGCAAAGCUUCCAGAAAUUCCUUUUCCGAUUUGGUCCCUAAUGGUUGCUUUGAUAAGGUAAAGUGCACGCUCUGUUUCUUUCGAAAUAGAGACAUUGAACUUGCGAAUUUAAUUAUACAAGAACUGAACUUUGUUCGAGGCAACUACAAUGAUUGCGUACGUGUUU
rnacentral:lncRNA from 1 species